UUUUAACAAUGGAGAGAAGAUACACUGAGGUGUUGACACUUCUUACGAAUAACACAUACCCCAAAGACCUUAAUAAAACAGAAAGACAAAAUUUGAGGCGAUAUGCAGCAAAAUGUAGAGUAACAGAUGGCAUGCUGUAUUAUGGGAGAAGGAAGGCAGUAAGGACCAAGGAGGAAUGCAGGGCAUUGUUUGACGAGUUCCACAGCACCCCUAUUGGAGGCCACAGUGGGAUUUUUAAAACACGAAAUGCCCUGUGUGCCAGGUAUUACUGGCCAGGGAUGACCGUGGAUGUCGAACAAUGGUUAAGUGAAUGUGAUCAAUGCCAGAGGGUAGGAAAGCCUCUGAUGGUGGACAGCAAACUAGACAGCAUCAGUGU